rnacentral:rRNA from 1 species
GACGAACGCUGGCGGCGUGCCUAAUACAUGCAAGUUGAGCGCUGAAGGUUGGUACUUGUACCCACUGGAUGAGCAGCGAACGGGUGAGUAACGCGUGGGGAAUCUGCCUUUGAGCGGGGGACAACAUUUGGAAACGAAUGCUAAUACCGCAUAAAAACUUUAAACACAAGUUUUAAGUUUGAAAGAUGCAAUUGCAUCACUCAAAGAUGAUCCCGCGCUGUAUUAGCUAGUUGGUGAGGUAAAGGCUCACCAAGGGGAUGGUACCUAGCCGAGCUGGAAGGGUGGACCGCCACAUUGGGACUGGGACAAGGCCCAAAACCCCUCGGGGGGCAGCAGGAGGGAAUUUUCGGCAAAGGACGGAAGUCUGAACGAGGAACGCCGGGUGGGGGAAGAAGGUUUUCGGGUCGUAAAACUCUGUUGGUAGGGAAGAAAGUUGGUGAGAGUGGAAAGCUCAUCAAGUGACGGUAACUACCCAGAAAGGGACGGCUAACUACGUG